rnacentral:rRNA from 1 species
AUACAUGCAAGUCGAGCGGACCGACGGGAGCUUGCUCCCUUAGGUCAGCGGCGGACGGGUGAGUAACACGUGGGUAACCUGCCUGUAAGACUGGGAUAACUCCGGGAAACCGGGGCUAAUACCGGAUGCUUGAUUGAACCGCAUGGUUCAAUCAUAAAAGGUGGCUUUUAGCUACCACUUACAGAUGGACCCGCGGCGCAAUAGCUAGUUGGUGAGGUAACGGCUCACCAAGGCGACYAUGCGUAGCCCACCUGAGAGGGUGAUCGGCCACACUGGGACUGAGACACGGCCCAGACUCCUACGGGAGGCAGCAGUAGGGAAUCUUCCGCAAUGGACGAAAGUCUGACGGAGCAACGCCCCGUGAGUGAUGAAGGUUUUCGGAUCGUAAAACUCUGUUGUUAGGGAAGAACAAGUACCGUUCGAAUAGGGCGGUACCUUGACGGUACCUAACCAGAAAGCCACGGCUAACUACGUGCCAGCAGCCGCGGUAAUACGUAGGUGGCAAGCGUUGUCCGGAAUUAUUGGGCGUAAAGCGCGCGCAGGCGGUUUCUUAAGUCUGAUGUGAAAGCCCCCGGCUCAACCGGGGAGGGUCAUUGGAAACUGGGGAACUUGAGUGCAGAAGAGGAGAGUGGAAUUCCACGUGUAGCGGUGAAAUGCGUAGAGAUGUGGAGGAACACCAGUGGCGAAGGCGACUCUCUGGUCUGUAACUGACGCUGAGGCGCGAAAGCGUGGGGAGCGAACAGGAUUAGAUACCCUGGUAGUCCACGCCGUAAACGAUGAGUGCUAAGUGUUAGAGGGUUUCCGCCCUUUAGUGCUGCAGCAAACGCAUUAAGCACUCCGCCUGGGGAGUACGGUCGCAAGACUGAAACUCAAAGGAAUUGACGGGGGGCCCGCACAAGCGGUGGAAGCAUGUGGUUUAAUUCGAAGCAACGCGAAGAACCUUACCAGGUCUUGACAUCCUCUGACAACCCUAGAGAUAGGGCUUCCCCUUCGGGGGCAGAGUGACAGGUGGUGCAUGGUUGUCGUCAGCUCGUGUCGUGAGAUGUUGGGUUAAGUCCCGCAACGAGCGCAACCCUUGAUCUUAGUUGCCAGCAUUCAGUUGGGCACUCUAAGGUGACUGCCGGUGACAAACCGGAGGAAGGUGGGGAUGACGUCAAAUCAUCAUGCCCCUUAUGACCUGGGCUACACACGUGCUACAAUGGGCAGAACAAAGGGCAGCGAAGCCGCGAGGCUAAGCCAAUCCCACAAAUCUGUUCUCAGUUCGGAUCGCAGUCUGCAACUCGACUGCGUGAAGCUGGAAUCGCUAGUAAUCGCGGAUCAGCAUGCCGCGGUGAAUACGUUCCCGGGCCUUGUACACACCGCCCGUCACACCACGAGAGUUUGUAACACCCGAAGUCGGUGAGGUAACCUUUUGGAGCCAGCCGCCGAAGGUGGGACAGAUGAUGGGG